GUCUACUGCCAUGCUACCCUGAACAAGCCCGAUUCCGUCUGAUCUUAGAAGCUAAGCAGGGUUGGGCCUAGUUAGUACUUGGAUGGGAGACCACUUAGGGAGACCAUUUAGGAAGACCAGGUGCUGUAGGCG
rnacentral:rRNA from 1 species